rnacentral:sRNA from 1 species
GGUGACCCCGACCUGCACACGCACGUUGCGAUCAGCAA